rnacentral:rRNA from 2 species
GGGGAACUUGAGUGCAGAAGAGAAAAGCGGAAUUCCACGUGUAGCAGUGAAAUGCGUAGAGAUGGGGAGCACCACCGGUGGAGAAGGCGGCUUUUUGGUCUGUAACUGACGCUGAGGCGCGAAAGCGUGGGGAGCAAACAGGAUUAGAGACCCUCGUAGUACUCCCCGCAAACGAUGAGUGCUAAGUGUUAGAGGGUUUCCGCCCUUUAGUGCUGCAGCUAACGCAUUAAGCACUCCGCCUGGGGAGUACGGUCGCAAGACUGAAACUCAAAGGAAUUGACGGGGGCCCCCACAAGCGGCGGAGCAUGUGGUUUAAUUCGAAGCAAGGCGAAGAACCUUACCAGGUCUUGACAUCCUCUGACAACUCUAGAGAUAGAGCGUUCCCCUUCGGGGGACAGAGUGACAGGUGGUGCAUGGUUGUUGUCAACUCGUGUUGUGAGAUGUUGGGUUAAGUCCCGCAACGAGGCCCACCCUUUAUUUUAGUUGCCCACCUUUAAUUGGGCCAUUUAAGGUGACUGCCGGGGACCAACCGGAGGAAGGUGGGGAAGGCGUCAAAUCAUCAUGCCCCUUAUGGCCUGGGCUACCCCCGUGCUACAAUGGAUGGUACAAAGGAGUGCAAAAGCGGGAGGGCAAACCAAUUCCAUAAAACCUUUUUCAGUUCGGAUUGUAGGCUGCAACUUGCCUACAAGAAGCCGGAAUCGCUAGUAAUCGCGGAUCAGCCAGCCGCGGUGAAUACGUUCCCGGGCCUUGUACACACCGCCCGUCACACCACGAGAGUUUGUAACCCCCGAAGUCGGUGGAGUAACCUUAAGGAGCUAGCCGCCUAAG